AAACCAUGGUGAGGACAUAACAUUAACAAAUCUUUAAAUCUUUUCCAAGCUUGAGGUAAAGACUCAGUAUCUUUUUGAGGAAACGUGGUCAUCUGUCUUUUCAAAGAAU
rfam:Prunus persica cultivar Lovell chromosome G8, whole genome shotgun sequence.